CAGUAGCCACGGGAAUACGGAGGGUGCAAGCGUUAAUCGGAAUUACUGGGCGUAAAGCGCACGCAGGCGGUCUGACAAGUCAGAUGUGAAAUCCCCGGGCUUAACCUGGGAACUGCAUUUGAAACUGUCAGGCUGGAGUCUUGUAGAGGGGGGUAGAAUUCCAGGUGUAGCGGUGAAAUGCGUAGAGAUCUGGAGGAAUACCGGUGGCGAAGGCGGCCCCCUGGACAAAGACUGACGCUCAGGUGCGAAAGCGUGGGGAGCAAACAGGAUUAGAUACCCCUGUAGUCCCUGUCUCUUAUAC
rnacentral:rRNA from 1 species